UACGGAGGGGGCAAGCGUUGUUCGGAAUUACUGGGCGUAAAGGGCGCGCAGGCGGCUGCUCAAGUCGAGGCGUGAAGGCCUGGGCUCAACCCGGGAAUUGCGCUUGAGACUGGGCUGGCUUGAGUGCGGGAGAGGAUGGUGGAAUUCCCAGUGUAGAGGUGAAAUUCGUAGAUAUUGGGAAAGACACCGGUGGCGAAGGCGGCCAUCUGGACCGCAACUGA
rnacentral:rRNA from 1 species